rnacentral:lncRNA from 1 species
AUGGGCAUCCCACCCCAGCACUUUCUAGGAAGGAGGGCAGCAUUUUGAAGGGCUGGAAGUAGAGGAAGGAGGUUGCGGGUAGAAGACUCCAUACUUUCUGUGAUGCCUAUUCCUUAGGUAGGAACUUAGGAACCUCAGGAGAGCCUUUAUAUAACCAAAGAUAUUUUUGGACCAUGAAUUCGGAAAUUCUCGGAGCCACCCAUCAGUGCCUGAGCUUCAGUGAGUCCAUAUCCCAUGUCACCCACGGCAAAGGAGAAUCUAAGACUUCUGAAGAGUUUCUUGCUUCUUUCCUGUGGGGCAGUGACUCCACUUCCCAGCAGUAAUGGAAUAUCCUGAAUUAGCUACAUUAAUGUUAGAACCAUUUGGACCUCACCCAGGACUUCAACUACAUUAUGGUUCUAGUAUGUUAGGUUUAUGUUCCCCUGCUUUCUACAAUCCUGUUCAAAGAGUUGCUGACUUAACCACAGAGAGGAUUCCAGAACAUGAGACACAGAAUAAACUUGAGCAAUCAUAGUCCAUCCACUUCAUUUUCUCAUCAAAAACCAAAGGUCCAGUGAAGCUCUGGAACUCAACGCUGUAAAGGAGCGAAGGAGCUUCUAUACAGAGCCUGGAUGCCUGUCUCCUUAUCCUACUUCAGUGGACUUGACUGCAAUCCGGACUAUGC